UACGUAGGAGGCAAGCGUUGUCCGGAAUGACUGGGCGUAAAGGGUGCGCAGCCGGCCUUUCAAGUUGGUAGCGUAAUUCCGGGGCUUAACCUCGGCGCUACUACCAAAACUGUUAGGCUUGAGUGCAGGAGAGGUAAGUGGAAUUCCUAGUGUAGCGGUGGAAUGCGUAGAUAUUAGGAGGAACACCAGUGGCGAAGGCGACUUACUGGACUGUAACUGACGGUCAGGCACGAAAGCGUGGGGAGCAAAC
rnacentral:rRNA from 1 species